AUGAUAACCAAAGCAACCGACAUAUAGAGACUACAAUGCUGAUAUGACAGAACAGAGAAAAGUGAAACGACCUCACCGACUACCAGCUUGAAGCACCCACCUGUCACAAAUGCGCCGGAAACCUAAGUACGUAACGAGUCAACCGGACCUACGAAGAUCCACCGGGUCAGUAUCCAACCCACCAAACCAAAAUACCGAAAUCACAAACCCCACACAAAUCCCCAAAAUCGGUUUCCUUAAACCGAUCACCAUAACUCGCCGGAAGUCCCGAAAAUCACACUGGGAUGCUGUCGGGACCCACUAAGUGUCCCGAAACUCACUGACUCGU
rnacentral:lncRNA from 1 species